GGGAAGGGUGGGGGUGCUCAGAAGGGUAGCAGCAGAGCAUGUUCUAUUUUUACUGGCCAGUUGCUGUGGACCGUAGAUUUCAUAGUCUCCACCAGCCUUCAGCCCCUUGCAGUGUGCAGACUUCCAGCAGCCACAGACCAUCUCCACUCCUCUAGGACUAUAAGAGUGCCUAGGCAGACUGGUGCGCUGGGGGCCACUGGCAAUAUCACUGAUUCUGAGGCUAGAGGUCCUGGAUUCAAAUUCUCCCUUUGAUAUUUACUCAUGUGACCUUGGUCAAGCUACUUUCUUCUCUAGGUCUCAGUUUCCCCAACUGUAAAAUGGAAGGGUUGGACUAAAUGGACUCUAAGGUGCUGCUCUCCUGCCACCAUGCUGAACCGUGAGUAAUUUUGAUGUCCAUCCGUUCUUCCCCUGAGAAAGAGCGUGCGUGUGUGCAUGUCUGAGGGGGUGGAUGGG